rnacentral:rRNA from 1 species
GAUGAACGUUGGCGGCGUGCCUAAUACAUGCAAGUCGAACGAAGACUGUAGUAAUACUGUCUUAGUGGCGAACGGGUGAGUAACGCGUGGGUGACCUGCCCCGAAGUGUGGGAUAACAGUUCGAAAGGAUUGCUAAUACUGCAUAAUAUCCAAGAGAUUAGACGCUUUUGGAUUAAAGGAGUAAUUCGCUUCGGGAGGGGCCCGCGUCCCAUCAGCUAGUUGGUAAGGUAAUGGCUUACCAAGGCGAUGACGGGUAGGGGACCUGAGAGGGUGGCCCCCCACAAUGGAACUGAAACACGGUCCAUACACCUACGGGUGGCAGCAGUAGGGAAUAUUAGUAAUGGGCGAAAGCCUGAACUAGCAACGCCGCGUGUGCGAAGAAGGCCUUCGGUUGUAAAGCACUUUUGUAGAGGAUGAGGAAGGACGGUACGUCUCAGAAUAAGUCUCGGCUAACUACGUGCCAGCAGCCGCGGUAAAAUACACGUGUA